rnacentral:rRNA from 1 species
GAUGAACGCUAGCUACAGGCUUAACACAUGCAAGUCGAGGGGUAACGAGAGGGAAGCUUGCUUUCCUUGUCGACGACCGGCGCACGGGUGAGUAACGCGUAUCCAACCUGCCCCCAACUAGGGAAUAACCUUGCGAAAGUAAGACUAAUACCCUAUAAUUUCCUCAGGUGUCAUCUGACGAGGAAUAAAGAUUUAUCGGUUGUGGAUGGGGAUGCGUCUGAUUAGCUUGUUGGCGGGGUAACGGCCCACCAAGGCAACGAUCAGUAGGGGUUCUGAGAGGAAGGUCCCCCACAUUGGAACUGAGACCCGGUCCAAACUCCUACGGGAGGCAGCAGUGAGGAAUAUUGGUCAAUGGGCGGAAGCCUGAACCAGCCAAGUAGCGUGCAGGAUGACGUCCCUAUGGGUUGUAAACUGCUUUUAUACAGGAAUAAAGUUAGCCACGUGUGGUUAUUUGUAGGUACUGUAUGAAUAAGGACCGGCUAAUUCCGUGCCAGCCGCCGCGGUAA